UUUAACUCUUCGUUUAAUUUGAAAUUUUUUUGCGAUUAAUAUUUUUAUUGUUACUAGAUGGUAAAAUAUAAAUAGUACUUUAUACGUGACUAAUUUUUUUAAGUUUUUGUAUAAAUUUUUCAAAUAAAAUGAAUGGUCAAA
rnacentral:pre_miRNA from 1 species